CUUCGGCACGUCGGGUGCUCGGACACACGCAAUGUUCCGCUAAUUAGAUUCUACGUUGUGAUUUCGACGCCAGGUGAAACGGAACACAUCGUUUGAUCAACUCCUGCUUAAUUAUUUCGACGCUGCGACCAGCAUGCUCGACGAAACCGGAGCCAGCAGGCGAGCACUGGCAUGAAUUGAACACUUUUAUUCAAGGUAUCCCCUGGGAUAAGAAUAACCUUGUCAUCCUUCGAUGGAUUCUUGGGAUUAGGAGUACGGUAACUAUGCGUGGAUCUGCGAGAAUGGAUCAUGCGCUGGUCACGGGCAAAGGCAGUAUAUGUACCAAAUUGAAUAAACAUUGUACAUUUUCACUUUCCCUCUUCGUAGUAAGAGGAUUUAUGGAAGAGCGAUAAGAGAAUUUCUGAAAUCGAUUACCGAUGUACAGUAUUUAUUAUUGCUAUUAAUUUAUAAGUCAGAUUUACGAGAUCACAAAUAACCCUGGCUCGGAGCGGCGCCGAGUGCACGUGCCGCUGACAAGGCGCAACAAGAGCACGGAAAUGUUCAGACAACAGGCUGCGAAAUGUUUCAAAAAUUCUUUCAUAAAAUAACUGAUGGGACAUAACGAGCACCUGUAUCAACCGUUUGUGAAUCGAUACAAAUUGAUGAUGUUAUCUCCGGGUGUCUCGGGUAUUACGCGUGUACACAUUUCUCCGCGGAUGAUUCUGGCAUUGUAUCGUACGCAAACUUGGCAAAUUCUACAAAUAUACCCUCUGGUGUAUCGAGAGCACGAUCUAGAACAUACGGACAUGGAGAUGUCAUGUUCUCGAUAAUGCAACCACGAUCACUACAUUGUUCCUGUAAAAAAACUAACGCGACGUUUUGCUUCUAGUUAGAUACAGACUGGUUAUAAUAUUCUUUUACUGUUUCAAUAUCAGCACUGGUCAG